GAUAAACGCCCUGAGGCGUUGGUUUUUAUGCUGGAGCCAAAGCCUACAGCAUUGGAACAAGCGGCACCCCUGGGGUUCCUGGGAGCCAGAGCCCCCAGAGGUGGGCCGGCAGCAGGAGAACAUCUUCCAGGAGCGGAUGUCUCCAGCCAAGCCCCAGGGAAGGACUGUGUGCAGCCAGGGCCCCAGCCUGGACACACGCCUGCGUUCAGACACAACUUUCCAUUCUUCCCCGGUUUUGACCCCAGAGAAGCCGUUGUGCCCGUCGGGGAUGGUCUGCAUCUUGCCCGUGGGACAGGGAUUAUCCUAGCGGGUGCUUCCUCCAGACGUCCCCAGGCCACUGUGGCAUCAUAUCUAUGACAUUGGAGGCGGGUGUCACAUGCGGGAAAUACCUCCAACCACAUGUUCUUCCUUGGUGUGUACAUGCGCCCAGGCCCACGAGGUCCAUGUGCACACACGUGGGCACCAGUGCUCUCAUACUGGAGGCCCAGAAGAUGACAGUCCCACCGGGGGAGGAUGGCAAUAGCUCCCCACGAUCCUAGGCUCCUGGAUCCAAGGCAAACCCUACAGAAGGUGUCAGAGUCUCGGCCUAGAAGGUGUGAGGCCGUCCUUAUCCUGAACCCCUGCCUGUCGUGUUUAUGGGCCCUUCCCUCCUUCCCACUGGGUGAGCUGUGGACAGCGUGCACCCAGUGGGUCGCCCUGACCUGGGCUCUAGGGAACCUGCUGUCAGCCACAGAACUGAAAGUAGACAGGAGGCACUGACUCUCCGGCUUGACCCCCAACUGAACUGAAAGCACGUUGUGUGUCCACGUACACUGACAGAGAAACAGAGACACGGAUAUGAAUGUAGACACAGAUGCAGAACUAGGAAGUUAGCAGAGGAGAAGCAACAUCACUGAAGAUCAUUAAAUAAAUAAAGAAAUAAAGCUGAAUCUCGAAUAGAGAAAAGGGAGUAAAUAAAAUAGAAUCAUGAAAAAAUAAUUCAUCAAACCGAAAAGCAGAGAGAGGGAUAAAGAAGAAGGAGCACUUUGGUGACACAAAGAAACGGCAAGCCUCGAAUGUAAGGGUGAUCGUGCCUCACGGAUUCCAUGGAACCUAAGUUGGGCAACAAGCAGCACCUUCCAGCAAAGGCCUAAGCGAAUAUUUUGUUUUGUUUGUUUUUAUUUAAAGAUUUUUAUUUAUUUAUUCAUGAGAGUGACAGAGAGUGAGAGAGGCAGAGACAUAGGCCGAGGGAGAAGCAGGCUCCAUGCAGGAAGCCUGAUGGGGGACUUGAUCCCGGAUCCCAGGAUCAGGCCCCGGGCUGAUGGUGGACGCUCAGCCUAGCCCCUGAGUCACCUGGGGGUCUAGACUAAGCUAAUGAAAAUGUACAAGGGAUUGUGUCAUACUGUGUUUGUAAUGGGGUAAAAUCUCUCUUUGCUAAGAAAGAGAGGGCAGCCCGGGUGGCUCAGCAGUUUAGCGCCGCCUUCGGCCCAGGGCCUGAUCCUGGGGACCCGAGAUCGGGUCCCCCCUCGGGCUCCCUGCAUGGAGCCUACUUCUCCCUCUGCUGUGUCUCUGCCUCUCUCCCCGUGUGUCUCUAUAAAUAAAUAAAAAUCAGUAUACACCACAUUUUCUUUAUCCAUUUACCUUUGAUGGACAUCUGAGUUGCUCCCAGCCCUUGGCUAUGAUAAAGAAUGCUUCUAUGAGGAUGGAGGUCUCUGGCGACCCUGCUUUCAAUUCUUUUGACUACACGUAGCCCAGAAGUAGGAUUGCUGGAUUCUAUGGUAGCUGUAUUUUUAAUUUUUUUGAGGAACUC
rnacentral:lncRNA from 1 species